AUUGAACGCUGGCGGCAUGCUUUACACAUGCAAGUCGAACGGUAACAGGCCUUCGGGUGCUGACGAGUGGCGAACGGGUGAGUAAUGCAUCGGAACGUGCCCAGGGGUGGGGGAUAACGCAGCGAAAGCUGUGCUAAUACCGCAUGUGAUCUGAGGAUGAAAGCGGGGGACCAAGCAGCAAUGUUUGGCCUCGCGCCUCUGGAGCGGCCGAUGUCAGAUUAGGUAGUUGGUGGGGUAAAGGCCUACCAAGCCGACGAUCUGUAGCUGGUCUGAGAGGACGACCAGCCACACUGGGACUGAGACACGGCCCAGACUCCUACGGGAGGCAGCAGUGGGGAAUUUUGGACAAUGGGCGCAAGCCUGAUCCAGCAAUGCCGCGUGCGGGAAGAAGGCCUUCGGGUUGUAAACCGCUUUUGUACGGAACGAAAAGGCUCUGGCUAAUACCUGGGGCUGAUGACGGUACCGUAAGAAUAAGCACCGGCUAACUACGUG
rnacentral:rRNA from 1 species